GGUGUGGUUUUUUAAAGACAAAGCAAGAGUUGAUGACUGCAGUUACUACUGUCUCUGGAUGCUUUGUAUUGAAAAGGUCUUAUUAAGUCAAUUUGAAGGUGGAGGGAUUUCAAUCAGGGACCUCUUGUCCUCGGGAGCAUACAGAUGCAAGUUGAAUUGAGCUCAUGUUGGCCAUUUGUGACUAAUUUCCUUGAGAAAGAAUUGAACUUUUUUUAGGUAGAAAUCCGUCCAUAUAGCAUCACGUCCAUAAGGAAGGUGUUCGGUGCAGCCCCCUCAGCCCCAAAUUGUUGGCCAAUGAUUUAGUGGAGAAAAGACCAUUUUUAUCAAGAUUCCAAAUUCAUUUCUCUCCGGGAGGCCAACCAAACUCCAUCAAGAACACGAGAGCCAUCCAUUCUUCAAAUUCAUCUUCUUUGAAGUUCCUUCUGUAGGUGAUGGUCCAUGUCCAUCCAUGUUGUUCAUCCCAAAAAUUGUUCACAGUGGACUGCUUGUAUGCAGCCAAAGUGCAUAGUCGAGGAAAAAGGUUCGAUAUAGGGGCUUCAUUGAUCCAAUGGUUAUGCCAAAAAGAGGCACGGUUGCCAUUCCCAACUUUGAUAGAAACCCUCUCUUCGAUAAGGUUUAAAUGAGACAGGAUGGUUCUCCAUGGACCUUCAAUAUGAUCUGGGAAAGAAGUGUUGGGCCAAGAAGAGUCAGUAUGCUCACCAUAUUUUAGCAUCAAUAAUAUUUGUUUCCAUAAAGCAACUCCUUUGUGGUAGUAUCCUGAAAUCCAUUUAGGAAGAAGAGCCCUGUUUUUGUCUCCAAUGCCUUGUAUGCCCAGUCAACCAUGUGAGAGAGGCUUGAUAAUUUUGUCUCAUCUAACAAGAUUCAUCCCAUUUUGGUUGUUACCCCUUUUUCACAAAAAGGAUCUGUAUGGUUUUUCUAUGAUAGUACUAACCUUGGUGAGGAUCUUGUAUAGGAACAAUAUGUAGGAAAUUUUGUGGCUAGUAGAAGGGUAAGAUGACUGCCUUUGGAAAUGUGUAAGUGAUUCCAUGACUGUAGUCUUCGUUCCACUUUUUCAAAUAUAGUUUAAGGCUUAUCAAAUAGGGAAGCUUAGAAAAAGCAAAGUUCAAAUGUUUCUUCCUUGAUCUCUUUAUUUUUUAGGUUAUAGUUUUUAGUGCAUCUAGAAUGAUCGCUUAUGGAAUCCUAAUCCUUCAAGCUCUUUUGGUUUCUCUUUAUAGGGAAGCUUAGAAAAAGCAAAGUUCAAAUGUUUCUUCCUUGAUCUCUUUAUUUUUGAGGUUAUAGUUUUUAGUGCAUCUAGAAUGAUCGCUUAUGGAAUCCUAAUCCUUCAAGCUCUUUUGGUUUCUCUUUCUCCAUCUUAUCUUGUCUAGUUUCUCUCAUCCAAUAAGACUUUGGUUCCAAGAAGGUUUUAAAAAAAUAGGUAAUAAAUUAAGCUUCCAUUGGGAGAAAUGAAAGCAUAAACAAGGGCGAGAAGAGAUAAAUGAAG
rnacentral:lncRNA from 1 species